rnacentral:misc_RNA from 1 species
GAUGAAGAACGUAGCGAAAUGCGAUACUUGGUGUGAAUUGCAGAAUCCCGUGAACCAUCGAGUCUUUGAACGCAAGUUGCGCCUCAAGCCAUUAGGUUGAGGGCACGUCUGCCUGGGCGUCACAUAUCGUUGCCUGAUGCCAGUUUCCUCGUGAUGGGUGACUGUGCAGGGCGAAUGAUGGCUUCCCGUGAGCAUUGCUGCCUCAUGGUUGGUUGAAAAUUGAGUCCUUGGUAGGGAGCGCCGUGAUAGAUGGUGGUUGAGUGACGAACGAGACCCAAUCAUGUGAGACCCCUACCGAAUUUGGCCUUCAUGACCCACAUGCGUCUUUGGAACGCUCAUGACGAGACCUCAGGUCAGGCGGGGCUACCCGCUGAGUUUAAGCAUAUCAAUAAGCGGAGGA